rnacentral:rRNA from 1 species
GACGAACGCUGGCGGCGUGCUUAACACAUGCAAGUCGAGCGGAAAGGCCCUUCGGGGUACUCGAGCGGCGAACGGGUGAGUAACACGUGAGUAAUCUGCCCCUCACUCUGGGAUAGCCACCGGAAACGGUGAUUAAUACCGGAUACGACCAAUCCCUGCAUGGGGUGUUGGUCGAAACUUUUUUGGGUGGGGGAUGUGCUCGCGGCCUAUCAGCUUGUUGGUGGGGUAAUGGCAUACCAAGGCUUCGACGGGUCGCCGGCCUGAGAGGGUAACAGGACAAGCUGGCACUGGAACAGGAGCCAGAAGCCAACGGGAGGCAGGAGUGAGGAAGAUUGGACAAUGGGCGGAAGCCUGAUCAAGCAACGCCGCGUGAGGGAAGACGGCCUUGGGGUUGGAAACCUCUUUAAGCACCGACGAAGCGCAAGUGACGGUAGGUGCAGAAGAAGGACCGGCCAACUACGUGCCAGCAGCCGCCGUAAAAC